rnacentral:lncRNA from 10 species
UCAGCCAGGGGAGGAAAGACACUGUGGGUGCAUGGGGAGAGGGAAGAGUGAGCAGGAAAUGCUGGCCACCUAGGAUCUUGAGAUGACAUCAUACUGGAUGAUCCUAGUGCACCCUAAAUCCAAUAAGUGUUCUUAUGAAAGACAGAAGAGGAGAAGAUACAGAAAAGAGAAGACGGCUAUUUGAGGAUGAAAGCAGAGCUUGGAGUUAUGCAGCUACAAACAAAAGAACGCCUUGAGCCACCAGCAGCUGAAAGAAGUAAAGUAGGAUCCACCCAUAAAAACUUGAGAAGGAAAGUGGGCCUACCUAUACCUUGAUUUCAGAUUUCUGCCCUACAGAACUCUAAGAGAAUAUAUUUCUGUUGCUUUAAACGUUUACGUUUGUGGUAAUUUGUUAUAACAGAUCCAGCAAACUCAUAUACUGGCACUGAGCAGAUAUUCAAUAAGAAUUGAUUAUGAAUUAUAGUCAUUAUGUUAGUGUGGCAUUGACUCAGAGAUGAACAAUUUGUUCACUGGACUAUAGCAGGAAAUUCAAAAAUUCAUGGAAGACUUUCGAUAUUUUACAUAUGAAUUGUCAUAUCACCCAGAAAAAUGAAUAACUAUUCAUAAAAUAGCAGUGACACAUUUGAUUAACAUAUAGAAAAAUUGUAAAUUGUAUUCUAACAUCACAUUAACUUCAAAUGUGAAAGACAUCUUGUAUCACUUUUAAAGAAAAUAUAAAAUAUAUUUUAUUUAGUAAAAUUGAAUUUGUAGAAUGAUGACUUUUUUUUUUACUUUACUGCUUAAUACUUGAGAAAUUUUCCUCUUUGAUGAGGCUAUUAGAAAACAGGAACUCUAACAAUUGUAUAGUGGGAAGAUAAAUUCAUACAACGACUUUGGAAAACUGCUUGACAAUGUAAGGAUGAAAGUGCCCAAAAUUGUAAAAUUUCCCUGCUCUAUGUCUAUCCUAUGAAAAUUCUAAUAUAUAUAAACAACAAAACCAUAAAUAUUUAUUGUAGCUUUGUUUUUAACAUUUACAAUGGUAAAUAUAAAAAUGCCAGUAUUUCCUGAUAUGAAAAUUGAUAGCUUUAUAUUAUAUAUAUAAUGAAAUCCCAUAUAGAAAUUAAACAAAAACAGAUACCCAAGUAUCAGCUGGAAUGGAUCUCAAAAAUAUCAUAGUGAGAUUAUAAAGCAUGUGUUGAAAUAAUACAGAGAAAACAAUAACAUCUUAUUUAAAUUUGAAGAUACAAACACUACCAUAUGCUGUAUAAAAUAUUCUAUACACAGACCUGUACUUAAAAAUAGAGAAAUAUACAAGGGGAUGCUAAACAAUUUUAGCCUGUAGUUAUCCCUUGUAGAAUUUCUUAUAAUCUUGUUUCUGGUUAUGUUGCUGUAUCAAUUAUUUUUCAGUUUUG